CCCUUAGAUGUUCUGGGCCGCACGCGCGCUACACUGACGAAUGCAACGAGCUUAUAACCUUGGCCGAAAGGUCUGGGUAAUCUCCAAAUUUCGUCGUGAUGGGGAUAGAUUAUUGCAAUUAUUAAUUUUCAACGAGGAAUGCCUAGUAAGCGCAAGUCAUCAGCUUGCGUUGAUUACGUCCCUGCCCUUUGUACACACCGCCCGUCGCUCCUACCGAUUGAAUGGUCCGGUGAAGCGUUCGGACCGUGGCCUUUGGACGGUUCGCCGUCUGUUGGCUGCGGGAAGUUCGUUAAACCUUAUCAUUUAGAGGAAGGAGAANUCGUAACA
rnacentral:rRNA from 1 species